AGAUUCAAGGCCUCCGCCUUCUAAGUGUUGGCUCCAAGAAUCUGGUUUUGGGAGGGGCUAAACUAUCUGUUGAGAGCCGCUAUCGUGCAUGUCACGAGUUAGUCUUUUGGGAGAGGUGUUCAGCAGCCACUGGUUCUAUCUGUACCUUCAAAGUCGACACAAGGCUGGACUAACCUGAAGGAGUAAACAGGAAUCCCAGGGAACACACAGUAGCCAUGGAACACUUUCACCAAAGAUAGAUUCUGAAGGUCUAUAAGAAAACGUUCACAAGCCUUUGAAGAAACAGCAGCAGGCAGUUAUUGUUUUCAAGGGUUACAAAGUAAGUGCUUGAUUUGUAAUGUAUUCUCUAUCUACUGUUUUGAUUUUCAGAUUUUGACUCAAUAUUUGAAGAUGAGCUUUUUAUUGGAUGAUGUUAAUUCUCGAAUGUAGUAAUGUUGUUUCACAAUUGUAAUGUUACAUGAUCAUGUGUGUGACAUUCUCUGACAAAUUAUGCGAUAAGAAUGUCAUUUUCAUGGAACCCAUGGCUCUGAUUGCACAGUCCCCUUGCUAAAGCAAAGGUCACUCUUUUUUUUAUUAUAUAUAUAUUUUUAUUACGUAUUUUUCUCAAUUACACUUCCAAUGCUAUCCCAAAAGUCCCCCAUACCCUCCCCCCACUCCCCUACCCACCCACUCCCACUUUUUGGCCCUGGCGUUCCCCUGUACUGGGGUAUAUGAAGUUUGCAAGUCC
rnacentral:lncRNA from 1 species